rnacentral:rRNA from 1 species
UUCGCAAUGCCCGAAAGGGUGACGAAGCGACGCCGCGUGCGGGAAGAAGGCCUUCGGGUUGUAAACCGCUGUCGGGAGUUAAGAAGUGCAAGGGUGUUAAUAGCAUCUUUGCUUGACUAAAGCUCCAGAGGAGGCCACGGCUAACUCUGUGCCAGCAGCCGCGGUAAUACAGAGGCGGCAAGCGUUGUUCGGAAUUAUUGGGCGUAAAGAGCACGUAGGUGGUUUUGUAAGUCAGAUGUGAAAGCCUUCUGUUCAAAGGAAGAACGGCAUCUGAAACUACAGAUCUUGAGUGUAGGAGGGGAGAGUGGAACUUCUGGUGGAGCGGUGAAAUGCGUAGAUAUCAGAAGGAACGUCGGCGGCGAAAGCGACUCUCUGGCCUAUUACUGACACUGAGUGUGCGAAAGUUAGGGGAGCAAACGGGAUUAGAUACCCCGGUAGUCCUAACUGUAAACGAUGGGCACUAAGUAGAGGGGUUUU